CGAUCGAGACGCACUGGAGUGCGGACGUGUGGUGCGCUUGAGUCUGCGAUUUCCUGCUGCGCUUUGCGGUGUCGUCGCAUUUUUCGUGCCUUCCGGAGCGUGGAUCCCCUGGAUUUUUGUGGUCGUUGUGCAAGUGCGCGGCAGUCACGUACAGCCGUUGCAACAAAAUACGAGAAAUCAAAAACACAUCGUAACAGACGAACAAAUCCGCCAGAAGUAAGCAAAUCAAUGUGGCAAAUAGUGUACCUUCGAUGCGCGCUCGUUGAUUGAUUAACACAUCACCUCCACCUCCCACACAAAGGCAAACGCCGUGUGUAAAGUACUCAGUACUCGUACCUACCUGUGGGUGCAAUCCGCUGCAAUUGGAAUUGCAACUGCGCGGUGUGCAUCCCCAGCGGAGAACGCUGAACAAACCAAAUAAAAAAGAGUUUAAAGUGCCGCGGCUGCAUUGUUUUGACUUUGAUCGUCGUGUGUCGUGCUCUCCACCACCCCUCAUCCGCCAUCCGCCAUCAGCCAUCCGCCCCGUUGCCCCUCGACGCAGCGCGUGCGUGUUGCAACUUUUGAUUAGCUUUGGAUUCCGAUUCGGAUUGGGAUCUUGCAGUGCUGUGCGCCUGCGUUUUUCGUAACUUAUCGCCGCCCACAUCUUAACUGGCAUUUGCCAGUUCGUUCUCCUCCUUCAGAGUCAACCGUUGCCGGCUGAGAUGUGCGUCCAAUUUGUGGCGAAAUUAAUUAUAUAAUUUCCAAAACACCGCCAAAAUCCCCGUAAAAAUCAAUUGCACAAAAGAAGAGAAAGAGAAGCGCUUCAAUAAACACGCCGAGCGGUGCUAAUGCGAAAGGAAACUCCCCGACAAUCGCCGAAAAUUGUAAAGAAAUAAAUUAUACAAAAUGUCUAUACAAAGCACAAGACAUUCGCCAUUCGCCUGGACCGCAAGAGCCCUGCUGCUGCUCGCCACCUGGUGCUGCUACCUCGGAUACCUGGGAUCGGAGGCCCAUGUGGCCCUCACCUAUCCACCUGCCCGCAAAUUCAACCUGGACUUUUUGGACAAUGCGCGAACGAAGGCGCCAUGUGGCAUGCCGAAAGGCUCCAUCCGCACAUCGCUGCUCUCCGGCACGCAGUUCAACGUCACCUGGCAUUUGGCCUACGCGCACAAGGGCGGUUUUCGUUUGCAACUUUUGGAUGCCCUCGAUCGACCUGUACUGGACCUAACGCCACAUGUAAAUAACUCCGAGUUUGUGAGCACUGAUGUCACUGCCCAGUCUUACCAAGUGAAGAUUCCGAACGACUUUGAAUGCUAUAACUGCACUCUGCGGCUGCUUCGUCAGGCAGAUGAAUGGACCACCAGCUAUCGCUUCUGGUCCUGCGCCGAUGUGGACAUCAAGUUGCGAAAGGACUUCAAGGAGACCUGUUCAGGCAAUGGCAAAUACUUCCCCUCGCGGUGCAAGUGCGACAAGAACUUCUAUGGCCCGCAGUGCCAAUACAAGGAUGAGUGCUCUGCCGACUCCGAUUGCGGCGUCCAGGGCAAGUGCGUGGAACUGGGUGGAACCUCGCUGCCUAAGAAACAAUGCUACUGCAACUUCGGCUGGUUCGGUAUUGGAUGCAACAAACGGUCGCCAUACAAGAGCACAAGCCUCGACCUCUCCUCGUAUUCCAAAAAGGAGCUCUCACCUGACUACCACGUCUACUGGAGGCUGCUUGAAGAACAGAAGGAGAUCGAGAUGGUACUUAAGGUCAAUGGUACAUCUUGGGUCGGCCUGGGCUGGAGACCACGUGGAAUGACACCGGAGUGCAAGAACUUCCCGCUGAUACGGGACAUCGGAGAUCUGACCACAACAUUGGAAGCCUCUGCUCCGGAACCCAAGAGCGAACCGGAGCCCAAGAGCGAACCGGAACCCAAGAGUGAACCCGAACCUAAAAGCGAACCUGAACCUAAGAGCGAACCGGAGCCUAAAAGCGAACCUGAACCUAAAAGCGAACCUGAACCGAAGAGUGAACCGGAACCCAAGAGCGAACCAGAGCCCAAGAGCGAGCCGGAGCCUAAGAGUGAACCCGAACCCAAGAGUGAACCGGAGCCCAAGAGUGAACCGGAGCCCAAGAGUGAGCCUGAACCUCAAAGCGAACCAGAACCUAAGAGCGAGCCGGAACCUAAAAGUGAGCCCGAACCCAAAAGUGAACCGGAGCCUAAGAGUGAGCCAGAGCCCAAGAGCGAACCACAGCCUAAGCGAUUAGCCGAGCUUAGGGCCGCACCAGAGCCACAAAGUGAGCCUGAGCCUAAGAGCGAACCGGAACCCAAGAGCGAGCCUGAGCCCAAGAGCGAACCGGAACCCAAGAGCGAACCUGAGCCCAAGAGCGAACCGGAACCCAAAAGUGAACCAGAACCCAAGAGCGAACCAGAGCCGUCAAGCGAGCCUGAACCUGAACCAACAAGUGAACCGGAACCCACAAGCGAACCGGAACCAACAAGCGAGCCGGAACCCAAGAGCGAACCGGAACCGAAGUCUGAGCCGGAGGCCCAGAGUUCAAAAUCCAAGAGAGUUGCAGGAGAUUUUGCCAAAAAGGGUGUCUCUUCAGUUUCUACAAGUGUUUCAUAUCGCGUUAGCACCAAGUCAGAUCGCCAACGUCGUGAAGCUGACUCACCCAAAUACCGUCUAAACCCCUACACACCACGACAUGAUUUCAAUGGAAUGGACUGCACGGACAUCGUGAUCGGAGCAGCCCGAGGAAUGGCCAGCAGAGUGGGUGACUACUACAGCCGUGAUCGCUCGACGCCCCACCCCGACGAGUUCUUCGGCGGCAAGUCAAACCUGGCCUUGGGAACGGGCUUUGAGGAGAAUGGCGUGACCACGAUAAUCUUCCGCAAAAAACUGGUUGCGAAUGAGCCCACCGAUCACACUCUAGACGAUGCGCUCACCCAUGUGAUUUGGGCCAAGGGUCAGGAGCCGGAAGCAUAUGUGCAUGUGCCAGCCUCUGGGCUGGAAACGCAGACCGCAACUGUCAAAAACUUCUAUCAGCAGGAUGAACUAAAAUAUCACGGACACCAAAUGCAGCGGGGAGUCACCCAGAUCAAUUUCUUCGAAAAAGAAAAGUCAGCCACGAGCACAGACCGGAACGAUCUGGGCACCAAUGUGCUGGAUAACGAUUGCUAUGGUCAUUGGAAGUAUCCAUCCAAUUGCUCGCCCCAGGAGCACACCUGCGAGUACUACGCCAGUUGGGAGACGGUCGGAAAGGGUGACGAGAUGCGUUGGCACAUUGAAACGUCGAACACGCAGACCUGGACGGGAAUCGGUUUCAGCGAUGAUCAGCGUAUGUCGCAGACUGAUGCGAUCAUUGGCUGGGUGGACGGACGCAGCGGAAGACCCUUCCUCAUGGACACCUGGGUGCUAGGCUACGCUCCGCCGAAACUCGAUGAUCGCCAGGACAUCUACAAUGCAUCAGGACGCAUUGAGAAGGGUGUGACCAUUCUGGAGUUCAAUCGCAAGCGGGUCAGCAAUGACGAACAGGACUUGUCCUUCACGGACGACCACUGCCUCUAUCUAUUCUUCCCGGUUCUGGGCGGUGCAUUCAAUGUGGUGAACAAGAAGAUCCGCAAACACGAGCAGGUUCCUCCAAUCUCUUCUCAGCGCGUAUGCAUUAAGUCCUGUGGCAAGGAACUGGAGUCCGUCUUUGUGGGCACCAGCACUCCGGCUCCAAGCCGUCUUGUUUACGCCGUGGCUGUUAAGCUGAUGAACCUGGGUGAAUCCUAUGAGGCGCCAAAGCCGGGAACCGUGGAGUUCAACAAUCUGGCGGCCACUAUUUCGGAUUCGUUCAAUGGUAUUCUAAGUCCGUUGACUGGUUACUAUAAAACAGAGAUUCUGGGCUUUGAGAAGGAGGGCAGCACCAUGGUGGCCAAGGUCCAGGCCAUGUUCGACAAGGCGGAUGUGGAGAAGAAGCACGCCUUAGAGACCAACGAGGUGGACAAAACCAGCGAGGCAGCAGCCCAGAAGAACGCCGAUGUGAUUCGUUCGGCUCUGAAGGAUCAGGUUGCCACCGGUCGAGUGGGCUCCCUAACGGUGGAUCCUCAGUUCUUGGACUUUGAGGCAUUGGAAUACAAGAGCUCCUCCGAGCCCAAUGCCAAGGAGACUCUGCUCUCCUUCUUCGAUCUUUCCGAGACACGUUUGUACAUCGUCCUGGGACUGAUUGCGGCCCUGGUGCUCAUCGCUUUGAUCCAGGCCUUCUGCACCAUUUGGAAGACAUCGCGAAAGAGCAAGAACACGAAGCUGGUUUACGUAAUUCCCGAAGAGUGGCGCAUGUACCAACAGCGACAGCACCAGCGCUACUAUCAGCCCUCUAGCGAUCUAUAAAAGACUCACUCUACAAAUUAAAUUCAGAUCAGAUCAGAUCAGAUCAUAUGUACGCCCUAGACAUACUGCCCUACUGCCCGAUCCACCUGUAAACCGAGCGUCAGCUACAACUACCUUAAGCGCAUUUACGUGUUAAUCCGAACCGAACCGAACCCAUCUUGUAGUUAGUUUAAGUACCGGAAACCUCUUGAUCAUGUACUGUAUCUGCGUCUGCGUAGGUGCCGCGUUUAUCAAAAUUCAAUAACUAAAUCGGAGAAACUUAUCCAAAACUCACCCUGGAAGGAGUUCGCCUCCAACACCAACUAUGCCUUUGACCCUUAUGGCGAAACGGAGGAGAAG
rnacentral:misc_RNA from 1 species